rnacentral:rRNA from 1 species
UUUAAAGUCUGACCUGCCCAAUGAAAAUUGAAUGGCCGCAGUAUUUUGACUGUGCUAAGGUAGCAUAAUCAUUAGUUUUUUAAUUGAAAGCUGGAAUGAAAGGUUUGAUGAAAAACUAACUGUCUCAAUUUAAAAAUUGAAUUUUAUUUUUAAGUAAAAAAGCUUAAAUUUAUUAAUAAGACGAGAAGACCCUAUAGAGUUUUAUAUUAUUUGUAAUAAGAAUAAUUAGAUUAAAUUAAUUUUUUUUAAAAAUAGUAUUUUAUUGGGGUGAUAAUAAAAUUUAAUAAACUUUUAAUUUUAUAAACAUAAAUUUAUGAAUAAUUGAUCCUUUGAAAAGAUUAAAAGAAAAAAUUACCUUAGGGAUAACAGCGUAAUUUUUUUUGAGAGUUCUAAUCGAAAAAAGAGAUUGCGACCUCGAUGUUGGAUUAAAAUUAAUAAUUGGUGGAGAAGCUAAUUAAUUAGGUCUGUUCGACCUUUAAAAUUUUACA